GAUGAAGAAGUAGCGAAAUGCGAUAAGUAAUGUGAAUUGCAGAAUUCAGUGAAUCAUCGAAUCUUUGAACGCACAUUGCGCCCGCCAGUAUUCUGGCGGGCAUGCCUGUCUGAGCGUCAUUUCAACCCUCAUGCCCCUAGGGCGUGGUGUUGGGGAUCGGCCAAAGCCCGCGAGGGACGGCCGGCCCCUAAAUCUAGUGGCGGACCCGUCGUGGCCUCCUCUGCGAAGUAGUGAUAUUCCGCAUCGGAGAGCGAUGAGCCCCUGCCGUUAAACCCCCAACUUUCCAAGGUUGACCUCAGAUCAGGUAGGAAUACCCGCUGAACUUAAGCAUAUCAAUAAGCGGAGGA
rnacentral:misc_RNA from 1 species